rnacentral:rRNA from 1 species
UACGAAGGGGGCUAGCGUUGCUCGGAAUCACUGGGCGUAAAGGGUGCGUAGGCGGGUCUUUUAAGUCAGGGGUGAAAUCCUGGAGCUCAACUCCAGAACUGCCUUUGAUACUGAAGAUCUUGAGUUCGGGAAAGGUGAGUGGAACUGCGAGUGUAGAGGUGAAAUUCGUAGAUAUUCGCAAGAACACCAGUGGCGAAGGCGGCUCACUGGCCCGAUACUGACGCUGAGGCACGAAAGCGUGGGGAGCGAACAGG